AAACUCAAAUGAAUUGACGGGGGCCCGCACAAGCGGUGGAGCAUGUGGUUUAAUUCGAUGCAACGCGAAGAACCUUACCUACUCUUGACAUCCAGAGAACUUAGCAGAGAUGCUUUGGUGCCUUCGGGAACUCUGAGACAGGUGCUGCAUGGCUGUCGUCAGCUCGUGUUGUGAAAUGUUGGGUUAAGUCCCGCAACGAGCGCAACCCUUAUCCUUUGUUGCCAGCGAUUCGGUCGGGAACUCAAAGGAGACUGCCAGUGAUAAACUGGAGGAAGGUGGGGAUGACGUCAAGUCAUCAUGGCCCUUACGAGUAGGGCUACACACGUGCUACAAUGGCAUAUACAAAGAGAAGCGACCUCGCGAGAGCAAGCGGACCUCAUAAAGUAUGUCGUAGUCCGGAUUGGAGUCUGCAACUCGACUCCAUGAAGUCGGAAUCGCUAGUAAUCGUAGAUCAGAAUGCUACGGUGAAUACGUUCCCGGGCCUUGUACACACCGCCCGUCACACCAUGGGAGUGGGUUGCAAAAGAAGUAGGUAGCUUAACCUUCGGGAGGGCGCUUACCACUUUGUGAUUCAUGACUGGGGUGAAGUCGUA
rnacentral:rRNA from 1 species